GAAAGAGGGCUGGGGAGCCAAGCCAGAGCCGGGUUGCCUGCCACCCGGCUGCACGUUUGUGAGCUGAGGAGUGCACCGCCAGUCUCUGACAAAGGAUGGGAGGAUGCCACUGCCCUGGGAUGCCGGCUGCGCGCAGCCUGCCGGCUGCCUGAGCUACUUCACCCUCCCCGGAAAUGUACCCAAAAAGACUUCUGAGAGCUUGUUUUCUGCUGUCCUACUGUGACUAAGCAAGACACUGCCAUAUUUUAGUAUGUUAUUCACAUCCUACUGUGCAAUAUCACACCAAAUCGCUCUACUACUAUUAUAACUUGGACCCCAUCGAAGAAUGGUUCCUCCUUCCUGACACACCCUCCUUUAUUUUUUAGCUAUUACUCAACCAACAAACUCUUAGAUAGCAUCUAUUUCUCAGCUACUAUGUCUAGUGCCUCAAUGAAUGUGG
ensembl:lncRNA